ACCUUCUUACUUAAGCUCUGUACUAAAAUUACAGAAAGUAGUAACCGUGUCUUAGUAUUUAUAAGUAAAGCAGCAGAGUAAACACAAGAAGAGAAACAAUUAGGGGCGCCUGGGUGGCGCAGUCGGU
ensembl:snoRNA small nucleolar RNA SNORA81